UACGUAAGGUCCGAGCGUUGUCCGGAAUCAUUGGGCGUAAGGGUACGGAGGGGGCUAAGCAAGUUAGAAGUAAAAUCCUAUAGCUAAACUAUAGUAAGCUUUUGAAACUGCUCAUCUUGAGGUAUGAGAGGGAAAGUAGAAUUUCUAGUGUAGCGGUGAAAUGCGCAGAUAUUAGGAGGAAUACCGAUGGCGAAGGCGGCUUUCUGGCUAUAAACUGACGCUGAGGUACGAAAGCGUGGGCAGCAAACAGG
rnacentral:rRNA from 1 species